GAAGGUCAGGCUGAAGACCUUACCGGAUUAGCUGAGAGGUGGUGCAUGGCCGUCGUCAGUUCGUACUGUGAAGCAUCCUGUUAAGUCAGGCAACGAGCGAGACCCACGUCCACAGUUGCCAGCAUACCCUCCGGGGUGAUGGGUACACUGUGGAAGACCGCCGCUGCUAAAGCGGAGGAAGGAAUGGGCAACGGUAGGUCAGUAUGCCCCGAAUCUCCCGGGCUACACGCGGGCUACAAUGGUUGGUACAAUGGGCAUCUACCCCGAAAGGUGAAGGCAAUCUCCUAAACCCAUCCGUAGUUCGGAUUGUGGGCUGCAACUCGCCCACAUGAAGCUGGAAUCUGUAGUAAUCGUGUCUCAAAAUGGCACGGUGAAUAUGUCCCUGCUCCUU
rnacentral:rRNA from 1 species